rnacentral:lncRNA from 1 species
GACCACUACCCUGAAACGUGACUGGAGCUGAUGGUUGUGCCAUACUGCCUGGAGUUGUCUGAUGGGACGGUGUCAUAAAAGCUGCCUUAGGGCACUCUCGAGCUAUGUGCCCCUCCUGGCCGCAUCUGUAACAUGCUGUAGUCCCAAACCGACAGACUCCCUUGUGCGGCCUACCGCACCUCGUACACUCUGCAACCUCUGUGCCUGAGCUCGAGCCACCUCCUAAUCCCAGACCAGACUUUAUCCGAUUCUAGAACUUGUUCUUCUUUGAUCUUCUGAGACCUCUGUCUCCCUUCUUACUUUUUGUGAUAGCCUCGCUCAGAGGGGAGAGAUCAACAUCACUUGUCCCCGGGAUUUGGAAACCCGAAGACUGUGCCGCAGACUGUUUAACUGUCCCUUGGAUAAUGGCACUAGCCUCCAUUCUCCGUGCCAUAUCCACUAUAGCAUGGAAGCUCUCCCUUUCUGCUGAUUGAACCAUCGAGGAAUACCUGGAGUGAAGCUUCAUAACAUAUCUCCUAGACUUCUUCAGGUCUGUGUCAAGACUUUGUCCUGCAAACGGCAACAGCUCCAGGAACCUGUCCGUAAACUCCUCUACGCUCAUCUCUUCCGUCUGCCUUAGCUACUCAAACUCAAUCAUCUUCAGUUCUCUGGAACUAUCUGGAAAAGCC